GAUGAACGCUGGCGGCGUGCCUAAUACAUGCAAGUCGAGCGAACAGACGAGGAGCUUGCUCCUCUGACGUUAGCGGCGGACGGGUGAGUAAUACGUGGAUACCCUACCUAUAAGACUGGGAUAACUUCGGGAACCCGGAGCUAAUAUCGGAUAAUAUAUUGAACCGCAUGGUUCAUUAGUGAAAGACGGUUUUGCUGACCCUUAUAGAUGGAUCCGCGCCGCAUUAGCUAGUUGGUACGGUAACGGCUUACCAAGGCAACGAUGCGUAGCCGACCUGAGAGGGUGAUCGGCCACACUGGAACUGAGACACGGUCCAGACUCCUACGGGAGGCAGCAGUAGGGAAUCUUCCGCAAUGGGCGAAAGCCUGACGGAGCAACGCCGCGUGAGUGAUGAAGGUCUUCGGAUCGUAAAACUCUGUUAGUAGGGAAGAACAAAUGUGUAAGUAACUAUGCACGUCUUGACGGUACCUAAUCAGAAAGCCACGGCUAACUACGUG
rnacentral:rRNA from 1 species